rnacentral:tRNA from 1 species
GCCUGAUUAGCUCAAUUGGCAGAGCACAUAUUUCGUAAGUAUGAGGUUGGUGGUUCGAUUCCACUAUCAGGCU